AGCUUUUGGCAAUGGAUCACUUGGCUCUCGCAUCGAUGAAGAACGCAGCGAAUUGCGAUAAGUAAUGUGAAUUGCAGAAUUCAGUGAAUCAUCGAAUCUUUGAACGCACCUUGCGCCCCUCGGUUAUUCCUUGGGGCAUGCCUGUUUGAGUAUCAUGAACACCUCAACUCUCACGGUCUUCCGUGACGAGCUUGGACUUUGGGGGUUUGCUGGCCCUGCGGCCGGCUCCUCUCAAACAAAUCAGCUUGCCAGUGUUUGGCGGCAUCUCACGGGUGUGAUAACUAUCUAUGCUUGUGAUCGCCCGCCAAGUAACCUUCAGAGACGGAGGUUCGCUGGAGCUUAUAAAUGUCUCUCCUCAGCGAAGACAGCUUUUUGACCGUUCGAUCUCAAAUCAGGUAGGACUACCCGCUGAACUUAAGCAUAUCAAUAAGCGGAGGCU
rnacentral:misc_RNA from 1 species